CUCCGGCCAUCCCCCAACAUCCUUAGCCUGUGUCUGCAAGAGAAGCUAAGAAAAGCUCCCUAAAUGGUUAAACAUUGUUGGGUUACCUGUUUUGCAAGA